rnacentral:rRNA from 1 species
GACAGAGGGUGCAAACGUUGUUCGGAAUUACUGGGCGUAAAGCGUGUGUAGGCGGUCCACUAAGUCGGGUGUGAAAGCCCUGGGCUCAACCCAGGAAGUGCACUCGAAACUGGCGGGCUAGAGUACUGGAGAGGUUGGUGGAAUUCUCGGUGUAGAGGUGAAAUUCGUAGAUAUCGAGAGGAACACCGGUGGCGAAGGCGGCAUUCUGGACCGAUAUUGACGCUGAGGAGCGAAAGCCAGGGGAGCAAACGGG